rnacentral:rRNA from 1 species
CGGCGAGUGAAGCGGGAACAGCUCAAAUUUGAAAUCUGGCCCUUGGGUCCGAGUUGUAAUUUGCAGAGGAUGCUUUUGGUGCGGUGCCUUCCGAGUUCCCUGGAACGGGACGCCUUAGAGGGUGAGAGCCCCGUACGGUUGGCCACCAAGCCUGUGUAAAGCUCCUUCGACGAGUCGAGUAGUUUGGGAAUGCUGCUCAAAAUGGGAGGUAUAUUUCUUCUAAAGCUAAAUACUGGCCAGAGACCGAUAGCGCACAAGUAGAGUGAUCGAAAGAUGAAAAGCACUUUGAAAAGAGGGUUAAAUAGCACGUGAAAUUGUUGAAAGGGAAGGAUUUAUGACCAGACUUUUUCUGGGGGGAUCAUCCGGUGUUCUCACCGGUGCACUUCCCCCAGUAGAGGCCAGCAUCGGUUUCUGCCGGGGGAUAAAAGCUUCGGGAAUGUGGCUCCUUCGGGAGUGUUAUAGCCCGUUGUAUAAUACCCUGGCGGGGACCGAGGUUCGCGCAUUGCAAGGAUGCUGGCGUAAUGGUUAUUAAUCACCCGUCUUGAAACACGGACCAAGGAGUCGAACAUUUGUG